rnacentral:lncRNA from 10 species
GUAAGUGAUAUUUGGCUUUGGGGAUGGUUCCUAUUAGCAUUAUGGGAACUAGAGAGUGGCCUCAGAUGGAAGUGCUGACUUUACACAGAUGGUAUCUUUCAUGCGCGUCCGUGUGAAGAGACCACCAAACAGGCUUUGUGUGAGCAAUAAAGCUUUUAAUCACCUGGGUGCCGGCGGGCUGAGUCCAAAAAGACAGUCAGAGAAGGGAGAUGGGGUGGGGACGUUUUAUCGGAUUUGGGUAGGUAAAGGAAAAAGGGGGGUUGUUCUCUGGCAGGCAGGAGUAGGGGUCACAAGGUGCUCAGUAGGGGAGCUUUUAAGCCAGGAUGAGCCAGGAGAAAGAAUUUCACAAGAUAAUGCCAUCAGUUAAGGCAGGAACAGGCCAUUUUCAUUUCUUUUGUAGUGGAAUGUCAUCAGUUAAGGCAGGAACCGGCCAUCUGGAUGUGCAUGUGCAGGUCACAGGGGAUAUGAUGGCUUAGCUUGGGCUCAGAGGCCUGACAUUCCUGUCUUCUUAUAUUAAUAAGAAAAAUAAAAUGAAAUAGUGGUAAAGUGUUGGGAUGGCAAAAAUUUUGGGGGAUGGUAUGGAGAGAUAAUGGGCGAUGUUUCUCAGGGCUGCUUCGAGUGGGAUUAGGGGCGGCGUGGGAACCUAGAGUGGGAGAGAUUAAGCUGAAGGAAGAUUUUGUGGUAAGGGGUGAUAUUGUGGGACUGUUAGAGGAAACAUUUGUCAUUUAGAAUUAUUGAUGAUUGCCUGGAUAUGGUUUUGUAUGAACUGAGAAACUAAAUGGAAUAAGAGAAGGAGAAAAACAGGUAUUAAAGGUCUAAGAAUUGGGAAGACCUAGGACAUCUAAUUAGAGUGCCUAAGGAGAUUCAGCGUAGUCCUGCCAGCAAAGAUUAUUUAUUUACUUCAAGAAUGGCAGUUUGGGGAUACCACCAGGAGAUAUCAGCUGUGAUGGCUUGGAGAAACAGUGUAAACUGGCAGUGUAAACAAGAGCAGGACAUGUAUGAGUAGUUGAGAACAGUGAAUAGGAGUAUGACUAGAGAGAAGAUAGUAGGGAUGACAAGUUUUUUGGGGCACAGUCUAAGUUGGUCUGGUGUCUGGAAUGAGACUGGGGCUUAAUAAAAAGGAGCCUCUAUACAGGAGCUCAAAUGGGCUGUACCUUGUAGCAUUCUGAGGACAGGCCUGACUUCUGAGAAAAGAAAGAGGUAAAAGUUUUUCUAGCCCUUUUUAAGUUGGUGGCUGAGGUUUUAAAAGACAAUUAGUCCAUUCUACUUUUCCUGAAGACUGAGGACUGUAAGGGAUAUAAAGGUUUCAUUGAAUACUAAGAGCCUGAAAAACUGCUUGGCUGAUUUGACUAAUAAAGGCCGGUCUGCUAUCGGACUGUAUAGAGGUGGGAAGGCCAAACCGAGUAAUUGUGUCUGACAGAAGGGAAGAAAUGACUGUGUUGGCCUUCUUAGACCCUGUGGGAAAGGCCUCUACCUAUCCAGUGAAAGUGUCUACCUAGACCAAGAGGUAUUUUAGUUAUCUGACUCGGGGCAUGUUGAGUAAAGCUAAUUUGCCAGUCCUGGGUGGGGGCAAAUCUCUGAGCUUGAUGUGUAGGGAAGGGAGGGGGCCUGAAUAAUCCCUGAGGAGUAGUAGAAUAGCAGAUGGAACACUGAGAAGUUAUUUCCUUGAGGAUACAUUUCCACGAUGGAAAGGAAAUGAGAGGUUCUAAGAGGCGGGCUAGUGGCUUGUACCAUAGCAUAGCCUGCCUUUGCUGGUGUGUGGCGAUUAGGCCUGGUGGAACUGCCAUCAAUAAAUCAAGCGUGAUCAGGGUGAGGAACAGGAAAGGAGAAAAUAUGGGGAAAUGGGGUGAAUGUCAGGUGGAUCAGAGAGAUACAGUCAUGGGGGUCAGGUGUGGUAUCAGGAAUAAUGUGGGAGGCCGGAUUGACGUCCGGGCCAGGAACAAUGGUAAUUGUGGGACUUAACAAAGAACGAGUACAGCUGAAGGAGCCGGGGAACAGAAAGCAUAUGCGUCAGCUUGAUGCAGAUGAGCAGGUAACCAUGGAAGUCGUGAGCUGAGGCUGCAGAGUCUAGAGCCAGAGUGUGGAAUAAACUUGGGUCUCAAAUCACCCCUGGAGCAAAGCACCCAUCUAAUCAGGAACUUCUACUUUCAACUUUACAUGCGUGAGAAAUGAACUUCUAUCAUGUUAGAGAAAUCCUUACACGGCGCCCUUGAGAGCUUUCAUACUGCAAGUCAUCCAUUUUCCUCCCCUCAAACCUGGCAUCGGAGUUUAUUGAAACAAAGCAAAAUAAAACAAAUAGACAAAGCUCUACCUCCAUCACUUCUGCAGUCUACAUUAACCCCACGUCCAGAAUAUUCACACCUCAGGUCUUUUUCUCACAAUUGAAACACUGGUUCAGAGCCUAACGGAAGGUCUUGGAGGUCCAGUCUAAUUCCCCUCCCCAGGAAGAGGGAUGAGCCUUUGUGGCUGCCUCCAUAAAUGAAAAUGCGAUGGAAAGGAUGCUGCACGACUUAUGAGGCUAAGUCAUAAGAAGAACUAAAGCUUCUACCCAUUUCCACUUCCUUUUGGGAAACGUGUCUUGGGAGCCCUGAGCCAAUAUGUAAGAAGUCCAGCUAUGUAUAGCCACCAUGCUGCAGAAACCACACAGAGAUAAAGAUUCGUGAGGAGUCUCCCCAUUUCCAGUUCCCAGCUGCUUGAGUCCUCCCACCUCCCAGAAUGAACUGUCAGACAUGUGAGUAGAAAUGACUCCAGACCCAGCCUUCAAGCUGUUGUCCCAGCUGACACCAAGUAGAGCAAAGGAGUUGUCUCCAUCAGUCUAGCUCAUAUUGCAGAUUUGUGAGAAAAAAACAAAUGUUGCUGCGUUAAGCCAGUAAAUGCUAGGAUAAUUUGUUAUAUGACAAUGACAAGAGUAACCAGGACACCACCCUUGUGUUAUCAUUACGUUCUCCCCUUGCUUCUUGUGAUGCCCUUGCUUUUCUUCUCUACCAGUUGCUGAGAAUUAGAGGAAGACCUUUGCUCCCACCAAUGUCAACAUUUCUUUACCAGAAAACACAGAGGCAUUUAACUCAUAUUUCGAAGACUUACAGCUUCUUAUAAUGGCCCUGGUGGUUAUACUUUUUGUUCUACUGACUCUAUUUUGUUACAGUUACUCUGCCCACAAAGUGCAAGACCCUUUGUGAUUAUGUUGGGGGACAUCAAUUCAAAUGACACCGUGAUAGCAUUACUGUCAAAUCAUGCUUCCCUCUCAAUGCUGUUGAUGAAGCUGGUGUACCCCAACCCUGUUCUUACAGGUUAAGUUGCUUUUUCCCACUUGAAACAUUGUACAACAGCCAAAAGCUUAUCUGGUCAGUUUUAAUGCGUCCUGCCCCUUCCUAGGACUUAUUGCAAUGACAAACAUAUAAGAGCUGUGAAAACUCUGUGACUUACACACAGUAGGCACCUGGUGUUUUAAGUGCUCUUCCUGAAAUGCUCACUGACAAUAAAACUAUUGAACAGAUCAGGACUGAAAACAUAGCUUUGUUUUGUGCCAGCAAAGACUCUCUUCUCUCCUUUACAGGUUGACAUUGAGCCAUUAAUCAACAGUAUGUUCAACAGUAACUAGUGAGUUAUGAAUCCAACUAUGUGCCUCUAUUU